rnacentral:rRNA from 1 species
GACGAACGCUGGCGGCGUGCCUAAUACAUGCAAGUAGAACGCACAGUUUAUACCGUAGCUUGCUACACCAUAGACUGUGAGUUGCGAACGGGUGAGUAGCGCGUAGGUAACCUGCCUGGUAGCGGGGGAUAACUAUUGGAAACGAUAGCUAAUACCGCAUAAUAUUGAUUAUUGCAUGAUAAUUGAUUGAAAGAUGCUAUUGCAUCACUACCAGAUGGACCUGCGUUGUAUUAGCUAGUAGGUGAGGUAACGGCUCACCUAGGCGACGAUACAUAGCCGACCCGAGAGGGUGAUCGGCCACACUGGGACUGAGACACGGCCCAGACUCCUACGGGAGGCAGCAGUAGGGAAUCUUCGGCAAUGGACGAAAGUCUGACCGAGCAACGCCGCGUGAGUGAAGAAGGUUUUCGGAUCGUAAAGCUCUGUUGUAAGAGAAGAACGGGUGUGAGAGUGGAAAGUUCACACUGUGACGGUAUCUUACCAGAAAGGGACGGCUAACUACGUG